UGCGAAGGGGGCUAGCGUUGUUCGGAAUUACUGGGCGUAAAGCGCGCGCAGGCGGUUUUUCAAGUCAGUGGUGAAAGCCCGGAGCUCAACUCCGGAACUGCCAUUGAAACUGUAAAACUUGAGGAUGAGAGAGGUGAGUGGAAUUCCCAGUGUAGAGGUGAAAUUCGUAGAUAUUGGGAAGAACACCGGUGGCGAAGGCGGCUCACUGGCCCGUAACUGACGCUGAGGCACGAAAGCGUGGGGAGCAAACAGG
rnacentral:rRNA from 1 species